rnacentral:tRNA from 1 species
GGAGAGAUGGCAGAGUGGUCGAAUGCGGCGGUCUUGAAAACCGUUGUUCCGAAAGGGACCGUGGGUUCGAAUCCCACUCUCUCCUCCA